rnacentral:rRNA from 1 species
GAUGAACGCUGGCGGCGUGCCUAAUACAUGCAAGUCGAGCGAACAGAUGAGGAGCUUGCUCCUCUGACGUUAGCGGCGGACGGGUGAGUAACACGUGGAUAACCUACCUAUAAGACUGGGAUAACUUCGGGAAACCGGAGCUAAUACCGGAUAAUAUAUUGAACCGCAUGGUUCAAUAGUGAAAGACGGUUUUGCUGUCACUUAUAGAUGGAUCCGCGCCGCAUUAGCUAGUUGGUAAGGUAACGGCUUACCAAGGCAACGAUGCGUAGCCGACCUGAGAGGGUGAUAGGCCACACUGGAACUGAAACACGGUCCAGAGUCCUGCGGGAGGCAGCAGUAGGGAACCUUACGCAGUGGGCGAAAGCCUGACGGAGCAACCCCGCGUGAGAGAUGAAGGUCUUCGGUUCGUAAAAAUCUGUUAUGAGGGAAGAACAAAUGUGUAAGUAACUAUGCACGUCUUGACGGUACCUAAUCAGAAAGCAACGGCUAACUACGUG